GUAGUGCCACAGCUCGUUUUAUCCGUUGCACGUCCUACAGCUUCCCUGUGGAGGCUCGCUCAGCUCAGAAAAGUCAUCUCCCGCUGGGUGCAAUCGUGUGUACGCUGGCCAGGCAAGACAGAAAAGUAUUAAUGAAAAGGGGUGUUCAGAAUGAAUAUUUGUCUUAUUUGCCAGGAUGUCGAAUUGUGUGGGUGUGAGUCAUUUUGAGAAAUCUUGAGAAAUCUUAAUCACCUUCACAUACACUCCUCAGUGUUUUACUGUGACCUGAUUAUUUUAAAGAUGAAAUACUCUUAUAAACAUGUUAUGAGAAUGUUUUCCACAGCGUGAUGUGCCAGUUUGUGAGGUGGGAGAUUGUGUUAAGGCCUGUGCACACUGCGGGGCCUUCAUGAGCCCUGCUAUGAGCUGGCAGGACUGCGGGCAAAGAUUUUACUUACCUUUCUGCAGCAAACUCACAGAAAGCCCGAAGAAACUGUCCGAUUAGAGCUUGGAACUUCCUGUGGUGGAGGGCCUUCUGGUGCCACUGGAAAGACUGCAGACACAUACUUGAAAGAGUUCUACAGGAAAUUUCACUUUUCAACCCUGAAUCGGAAGAUAGAUCCAGCUCACAAGAACUUCCUGUUUCUGCAGGACUGAAGAUUCUUCAGGAAGGAGCCUUAAUAUGAGACUUAAACAUGCUGCAGCGUCUCCAGGCAAAUUAUUGAUCUUCCAUUCCUCACCUGUUUCUGAAGGCACAAAUCAGAAAAUCUCCUCUGGUUUCUUCAGCUCUAGCAAAGUGAAGUCCAUCUUCCAAGGACCAGAUUCCUCGAUCCCAUUGGCUAAAAAGUUUGUCACUCAAGGCUGCAGUGUGCACAUCUUUGUGUUCUCCCAUCAAGAAGUAGGCGGGGCUUGGCCAGGGCACAUCCCCUUUCUCACAGUGGGUGGUGUCAUCUGCUAUAACAGUCUACAGAGAUGCUAUUAUCUGGUUGCUAUGGCUCCUUCAUCGCCGAUCCUGACUCCUGCUGUGUUGCCAUGGCAGUGCUUGAUUGGCGCACAGCUCUGGCAUUUGAGUUCACUCACAACAAGUCUUUGGAUGAAACGAGGGGUGUAG
ensembl:lncRNA